CAGCAGCCACGGUAAUACAGAGGGUGCGAGCGUUAAUCGGAUUUACUGGGCGUAAAGCGUGCGUAGGCGGCUUUUUAAGUCGGAUGUGAAAUCCCUGAGCUUAACUUAGGAAUUGCAUUCGAUACUGGGAAGCUAGAGUAUGGGAGAGGAUGGUAGAAUUCCAGGUGUAGCGGUGAAAUGCGUAGAGAUCUGGAGGAAUACCGAUGGCGAAGGCAGCCAUCUGGCCUAAUACUGACGCUGAGGUACGAAAGCAUGGGGAGCAAACAGGAUUAGAUACCCAGUAGUCCCUGUCUCUUAUACA
rnacentral:rRNA from 1 species